rnacentral:rRNA from 1 species
UACGAAGGGGGGCUAGCGUUGCUCGGAAUCACUGGGCGUAAAGCGCACGUAGGCGGAUUGUUAAGUCAGGGGUGAAAUCCUGGAGCUUAACUCCAGAACUGCCUUUGAUACUGGCGAUCUCGAGUCCGGGAGAGGUGAGUGGAACUGCGAGUGUAGAGGUGAAAUUCGUAGAUAUUCGCAAGAACACCAGUGGCGAAGGCGGCUCACUGGCCCGGUACUGACGCUGAGGUGCGAAAGCGUGGGGAGCAAACAGGG